UCUGUUUUUUUUUUUUUUGUUAGUUUAUUAAUUGCACCCCAAAAACAAAUCUCUCUACUGUUUACCAAAAAGAGAAACAAAUUAAUAGGAAAAAGUGAAUAACGGGCAUCCCACGGGGAUUACACCAAAACUCAACUCCAUACUAAAAUAUUAAUGAUAAUGCUAUAAAAAUCAGCUAAUAUGUAUUUUAUUCUAUUUUUUGUGAAUUUCUUGUACUAAAUGUAGUAAUUAAUAUGAGAGAAAAAUACUCUGGAGAUCAAUAAAAGAUUAUACCUAUUAAAAAUUGGUACAUAAAGUUACCAAAAACUUCAAUUUUACAUAUUAUGAAACUCUAUAAUAGAAACUAAAUAAAAUUUUGAUUUCUUUCAAUUUUAUAAGAUGAAAAAUUAUAAUUAUUUACUUUUAAAAAAAAAAAAGGUAAAAAGAUAAUAUAUUGCAAACAAACAGAGAGAGAAAGGACAAUUUGGAUACCAUCGGAAGUCAAAAGUAGAAGAAUUUUGUAAAAUUAAUUAUACAAUUAAAAUUAAUUGUAGAACUUGACUUUUAAUGCCAUAAUAAUUAAUAAAAUAUAGAAAUGUUAUUAAAAUAGAAUUACGUACAGUAAUAAUUUAAUGUAAAUAUUGUUAUUAAAAUGAUUGCUUUCAUAUUAAUUGAAAUGGAAUUUGAAUAAAUAUUAUAAUAUACAAAUAGAAAAUAUUUGAUAAAUGAAAGGUAAAGGUAUAGUUAAAUCACUACAAUAAAAAUAAUCUAGGAUAGCGGUUACAAAUUAAUUCCUUAUAUAUUUAUAGCUAAAAGUAAAAGAUAAUAAUUUGAGAAUUAUUGCGCUUUUAUUGCAGGAAAAAUAAACAAUUGUUUACUUACCUUUUACACAUAAAUAAAUUUAAUUAAAAUUAUAAUUUUAUUAAAUAUAAAAUAAAUUUUUAUUAAAAUAUAUCAUUAUAUAUAUAUAUAUAUAUAUAUAUAUAUAUAGUCGUAAGUAGUAUUAAAAUAAUCACUUCUAAAAUAUUAUGGUUUAAAAUCUAAUAUAUAAUUGUGAAUUGUGAAAUCUGAAAAAGAAAAAUAGGUACAAAAUUUUUUAUUUUAAAAGAAAUAGAAAUUUUAUAAUAAUUUAUUUAAUUUUUUAUAAAAUGAAUAUAUAUAUUGUAAGAAUACCCACUUAUUUUGAUUGUGGUUUUAAUUUUAGUUAAAAAGGGAAAAAAAAAAAAAAAAAAAAAACUGAAAUCGACAGUUUCAAUCCAAUUCAAGAAGUAAGCUGAUUUGAUCGGGCGAUUUCGAUGUUAUUCACUAUCUGGAACCAGACCUGUUCCCAUCAAUGCUCUCUUCCUUCAAUGAUUCUCCAUGAACACAUAUAUAUUUUUUCUUUUAAACAAAUAAAUCAUUUCAUUAAAAGCCAAUGCCAACUGAAACACACGCAACAUGAAAUGAAAUGAAAUGGGGAUAUAUCAAGCUCUUAAAUAUUAUUUAUUAAGCUUGCUAUCCUAUCCCAUGCUCCCUUCCGUUAUCCAUUCCAAUUUUAAAUACCCUUUUAUCUUAGAUAAUUUAAUUAAAAAUAACUUGUAUAUAAAAAUUACUUUAUGCGAAAAUAUUAUUUUCUUAUACAAAUCAAUAUUAGCUAGUAUUUUUUUUCUUAAUAUAAAUGAUUUAUUUUCUGGAGAAUAUUUUUUUCCAUUUAUGGAAGUAUUUGCUUUCAAUAAAAUAAAACAAAACAAAAAGACUAGUAUAUAUCAAAAUUUUAAUUGCAAUUAACAAAGGAGACGUUCUAAUUUCAAAUGCAUUGGAAUAUUGUAAAACUUGAAAUGUACAACUUGGUUAAUUGUUUUUUUUUCUCUUUCAAUUUUGAAUUAAAUUUGUCAACUGGCCAAAAAGUUGCAAUCAAUAAUUUUUUUAAGAGAUAAGUUUAGAUUGAUUUAUGAAAUUCAAGAAAAAUUGUGUAUAUGAAAAUAGUACAUAUGUAUUCUGUGAAAAAUAAAAUAAAAAU